rnacentral:rRNA from 1 species
UAACACAUGCAAGUCGAUUCGAUUUACCUUCGGGUAUUGAGGAUGGCGGACGGGUGAGUAACGCGUAAGGAACUUGCCUCUUGGUCUGGGACAACUGUUGGAAACGACAGCUAAUACCGGAUAUUAUGAGAUUCUCGCAUGGGAAACUUAUGAAAGCUAUAUGCGCCAAGAGAGAGCCUUGCGUUCCAUUAGCUAGUUGGUGGGGUAACGGCCCACCAAGGCGACGAUGGAUAGCCGGCCUGAGAGGGUGAACGGCCACAAGGGGACUGAGACACGGCCCUUACUCCUACGGGAGGCAGCAGUGGGGAAUAUUGGACAAUGGGCCACAAGCCUGAUCCAGCAAUUCUGUGUGCACGAUGAAGGUCUUCGGAUUGUAAAGUGCUUUCAGUUGGGAAGAAGAAAGUGACGGUACCAACAGAAGAAGCGACGGCUAAAUACGUGCCAGCAGCCGCGGU